AACGCUGGCGGCGUGCCUAACACAUGCAAGUCGAACGAGAAAGUGGAGCAAUCCAUGAGUACAGUGGCGACCGGGUGAGUAACACGUGAUCAACCUACCCUCGAGUGGGGAAUAACUCCGGGAAACCGGAGCUAAUACCGCAUAAAAUCUUCGGUCCACAUGAACUGAUGAUCAAAGGAGCAAUUCGCUUGAGGAGGGGGUCGCGGCUGAUUAGCUAGUUGGUAGGGUAAUGGCCUACCAAGGCUUAGAUCGGUAUCCGGCCUGAGAGGGCGCACGGACACACUGGAACUGAAACACGGUCCAGACUCCUACGGGAGGCAGCAGUGGGGAAUUUUGCGCAAUGGGGGAAACCCUGACGCAGCAACGCCGCGUGGAGGAUGAAGUCCCUUGGGACGUAAACUCCUUUCGACCGGGAAGAUACUGACGGUACCGGAUGAAGAAGCACCGGCU
rnacentral:rRNA from 1 species